UCCGAUAUGGUGUAGUGGCUAACAUUAUCGCCUCUCAUGUAUUGGUGAAGCAUAACUGAAAGCGCGAUAGCCCGGGGUUCGAUUCCCCGUGUCGGAA